AGAGUUUGAUCAUGGCUCAGAUUGAACGCUGGCGGCAUGCCUUACACAUGCAAGACGAACGGCAGCACGGGAGCAAUCCUGGUGGCGAGUGGCGAACGGGUGAGUAAUGUAUCGGAACGUGCCCAGUCGUGGGGGAUAACGUAGCGAAAGCUACGCUAAUACCGCAUACGAUCUGUGGAUGAAAGCGGGGGACCGUAAGGCCUCGCGCGAUUGGAGCGGCUGAUAUCAGAUUAGGUAGUUGGUGGGGUAAAGGCCCACCAAGCCGACGAUCUGUAGCUGGUCUGAGAGGACGACCAGCCACACUGGGACUGAGACACGGCCCAGACUCCUACGGGAGGCAGCAGUGGGGAAUUUUGGACAAUGGGGGCAACCCUGAUCCAGCCAUGCCGCGUGUGUGAAGAAGGCCUUCGGGUUGUAAAGCACUUUCGGACGGAACGAAAUCGCGCGAUCUAACAAGUCGCGUGGAUGACGGUACCGUAAGAAGAAGCACCGGCUAACUACGUGCCAGCAGCCGCGGUAAUACGUAGGUGCGGGCGUUAA
rnacentral:rRNA from 1 species